AGCGAACGCUGGCGGCAGGCCUAACACAUGCAAGUCGAACGAAGUAUUCGGACUUAGUGCUGGACGGGUGAGUAACACGUUCGAACGUGCCAUUAGGUUCGGAAUAACUGCGGGCAAAUCGUGCUAAUACCGAAUGUGCCCUUCAGGGGAAAGAUAUAUCGCCUUAAGAGCGGCCCGCGUCUGAUUAGCUAGUUGGUGAGGUAAAGGCUCACCAAGGCGACGAUCAGUAGCUGGUCUGAGAGGAUGAACAGCCACAUUGGGACUGAGACACGGCCCAGACUCCUACGGGAGGCAGCAGUGGGGAAUCUUGCGCAAUGGGCGAAAGCCUGACGCAGCCAUGCCGCGUGGAUGAUGAAGGUUUUAGGUUUGUAAAAUCCUUUCACCGGUGAAGAUAGUGACUGUAGCCGGAGAAGAAGCCCCGGCUAACUUCGUGCCAGCAGCCGCAGUAACAC
rnacentral:rRNA from 1 species